rnacentral:rRNA from 1 species
AGCGAACAGGAUUAGAUACCCUGGUAGUCCACGCCGUAAACGAUGAGUGCUAAGUGUUGGAGGGUUUCCGCCCUUCAGUGCUGCAGCAAACGCAUUAAGCACUCCGCCUGGGGAGUACGACCGCAAGGUUGAAACUCAAAGGAAUUGACGGGGGCCCGCACAAGCGGUGGAGCAUGUGGUUUAAUUCGAAGCAACGCGAAGAACCUUACCAGGUCUUGACAUCCUUUGACCACUCUAGAGAUAGAGCUUCCCCUUCGGGGGCAAAGUGACAGGUGGUGCAUGGUUGUCGUCAGCUCGUGUCGUGAGAUGUUGGGUUAAGUCCCGCAACGAGCGCAACCCUUAUUGUUAGUUGCCAUCAUUUAGUUGGGCACUCUAGCGAGACUGCCGGUGACAAACCGGAGGAAGGUGGGGAUGACGUCAAAUCAUCAUGCCCCUUAUGACCUGGGCUACACACGUGCUACAAUGGGAAGUACAACGAGUUGCGAAGUCGCGAGGUUAAGCUAAUCUCUUAAAGCUUCUCUCAGUUCGGAUUGUAGGCUGCAACUCGCCUACAUGAAGCCGGAAUCGUUAGUAAUCGCGGAUCAGCACGCCGCGGUGAAUACGUUCCCGGGCCUUGUACACACCGCCCGUCACACCACGAGAGUUUGUAACACCCGAAGUCGGUGA